CUGGUGUUGGCCUCUGAGGGAGGGAGCGUUGGGCUUGGGCAGUUCACCUCAGCCUUCCCCAAAAUGCGAGCAGGUGCACAGCCUGUGGGCAUACAGGUUCACAGCUGCAAGUGCAGAGGUUUCUGUGGUAAAUAAGGACACAGGUACAACAACAGAAAUGAAAGCCAGAGAAAACCCUCAAAGCUGCAUGUACACCUACACAGUAAACAGAGCAACUAAAAAGGAAAGGUAAGAGGCAGAAUCAUCACUACUCAUCUGCUGAGCUGUGAUCAGAGCUGUCCCUUUAGGAAUUUGGCUGUGUUCUGAUUCAUGCUGAGUGCCAGCCUAAUGUGUGGAAUGGGAUUCCCCACUGCAGUCUUGGGAACAACUCGUUUAGUGGAUAUCUCAUCUGAUGGCAUGCAAAUAGGAGAAAGUGAUGCUUGCAGUCAACGAAUUCUCUCCAAGUGUGAAUGGACCCUUCUCCAAGCAUGAAAAUAUUGAGGAACCCAUGUAUUAAAUCUUUAAAACAAAAAAGGCAGCUGCAAUGACCUGUAUUUGUCAUACUGUUUCAUUUCCAUGGUGUUUUGAAAGUAGUGUUUAUAGUUUCCAAACCUGUGGUGCUGGGUCCCACUGCCUGUUGCCGACCCACAGAAGCAGUGGGUUCAGAGGGUUCACCAGUACCCUCGCAUUGCUCGCUCUGCACUCUGCUGCUCAAUCCCCUCUGUGACAGGAGCUGAAAACACUCUGGAGUCAAAAGCUAAUUGAGAAGUUAUAAAGGGUACUGCACAACUCCCUAGCUCUGUAGUGGGAUGGGUGGUUGAGUACUAAUCAGUUCAGAGUGUAUUUCUUCUGGGACCAGCAGUUACUGGUAAGUAAUUAUUCUGUAAAAGAUAUGCAUCAUAACGGAUUGUGCUUCCCAAGAACAAAGGCUCAAAUGAGAUCUCCAAGAACAGUGUGGACCAAAAUGGGCAUCAUGUUUUCCCAGUGUAGAUGAGUAUACUGUGGUUAUAUUAAUACAGCUGGGCCAAUUAGGGGGAGCUGCUCAUUUGCAAUUAGAUGUUGACUGUGUUAACAUUCCCUGGCAGUAGCUCUAUGCCGGUGCUCAUAUGCCAGAACCAUUUAUUUACAUGCUCGUGAUGGACGAUAAGGCACCUUUGCACUCCUGGGAGCCUCAUUUGUGUUUGUGCUAGGAUCCCUUAAUGCUCUCAUCGAGCAUUAAAAUUACUCAAUUUUUACUGCUCAGUGCAGAGUGCAGAAGUCUACAUGUAAAUAAGAGUCAGUCAGCUGUGUUUGUUUACUUAAUAGAAGAGGGUUGAUCUGGCUUUGAUGAGUAUGGCAUCUAUAUCUUCAUGCUGAAUCUGCUGCACUGUUUGCUUUUUUCCUGUAGCAUUUAGGAGAAAUCAAAUUAGUGCAUGUUGUGGCAUUAUAUAUCUUGUUGCUAAAAAUGUACCCCUUGGUGUAUAUAUGUCCUCUCUGUUUGCAUACAGAAAUAUAGAUCUUAUCUAUCCUGCAGGUACACAGUUGCCCAGGCUUUGCAUUUUAUAUUCUGUUGUAGCUCAAUAGAUAAAGGAUUACCUUUGAGUCCUCUCCAGCCAUUCACUCUCUUCCCUUGCCUCUCUGUCUUUGCCCAGUUACAAUUUGGGUUAGCUCUUGUUUUAGCUGAAUUAAAUGUAUGCUCCAUAUCCAGCAUUCUAAACUCCAAGGGUUGCAAAUCCUUUUUGCACUGAAUCUACAAAGUCUUUUUUUUCUAGAGUCAAUUUCACUGUCGUUUCAGAAUAUAUCCAGUGCAUCUGCACUGAAGAUGUACAAUGGGAUAAGCAAAGCCAAAAUCUCACUCAUACAAUAUAAAUGACUUUUAUGUCUGAAGAAGUAAUUAUCUAGUGUCAUA